GGUGAUGGAGUUGACAUCAUAAGAGUUUCUCUUGAGCUGCUCAGGUUUUGACCCCAAGACCCUUGGGAGAUUGUCUGACCUCAUUGCCAGAAGCUUGCAUCAGGAUAUCCCUGACGACGAUAGUGAACAGCUUAACCAAAAGCAAAUCAUUGCAUCAGGUUAUAGGCGCUGGGCUGAUCGAUUCCCGGGUGUUAGAAAUGUUGUACAU